GGUUGGUCCAAGGGUAGUGAGUUAUUUCAAUUGAUUGUUCACAGUCAGUUACAGACCAAAUUCCUUGUUUUACUCUUUCCUUCUUCUCUCUACUACACUUGAGUAACUUUUA
rnacentral:Y_RNA from 1 species